UACGUAGGUGGCAAGCGUUGUCCGGAUUUAUUGGGUUUAAAGGGUGCGUAGGCGGUCCUAUAAGUCAGUUGUGAAAUACGGCAGCUUAACUGUCGAGGUGCAAUUGAUACUGCAGGACUUGAGUACAGACGAGGUAGGCGGAAUUGACGGUGUAGCGGUGAAAUGCUUAGAUAUCGUCAAGAACACCUAUAGCGAAGGCGGCUCACUGGCCCGGUACUGACGCUUAAGAGCGAAAGCGUGGGGAGCAAACAGG
rnacentral:rRNA from 1 species